GUUGGCAUUCGAGUGACAUAAUUACCAUUACCAGCCAUAGAUUUAUGUGGAACAUAAGCGGUGACAAGAUGAAACCCUUCAGCACCUUGUGCUUGAGAAACCUUCAGAUCAGAUGAGUUUAUUAUUCUGAGGUGCCUCCUCACGACGCCUGGGCUGCUGCCACAAAAAUUUAAUUUUGGAAAUUGAGGAUUGAAGUGUUUAUUUGGAGGGGGAAAAAAGAGAUGCAUAAAAUUGCAUGGAUUUUGGAAAAACAACUGAAGAAAAAAGGAACAGAUUCCAUUCGCUGUCCAUCAGUAAAGCUAUGAACUACUAAUAAA